rnacentral:rRNA from 1 species
UAAGAACGGCCAUGCACCACAAUC